rnacentral:lncRNA from 1 species
UUAUAGAUUGUAGAGGAAGCUUCAGAAGGUAAUCUAUCUUCUUCCUCCUUUCUCAAUCCUUUGAUUUGAAUCAUAUGCAGGGAUAUCCGGUAAGGUUAGAAUUUGGGGGUUUUUGGAUUUCAAUCCUACGUUUAAUCUCAAUAGGUCAUUCAGAUAAAGCAAUAAAGCAAUCGGGAGAUGGAUUCAAAUCAAACUCUUACGAGGAAAGCUUUUUAGCGGCAGGGGUUAGGAUUACUUUUGUGCUUUAUGUGAAUAAUUGUAAUUAUUUUUCAGGAAUCCUUGCUUGGAUUUUCAUGACUUUAUAGUAGCAUGUGAUCGACUAUAUAGGUG